CUGGGAUAUUUCAAAGAAAUAGUCAUACCAGCAGAUCUUAAAGAAGACCUGUGGGCAACCCUUUAAAGUAUAUUGCAUUAUCAAUAAAAAGUUUAAGGUGGGGGGCGUGGCUUGGCACGCUGGAGGGAAGACAUGGCUAGAGUGAGCUCCUGCUAGGGGUGAGCAUUUAGGGCUAUUGUGCUACACCAUGGGAGGCAGAAACAAGUACAAAAAGCACCCACUGCUCUCCCAGGAGACCGGGGACCCGCCGCGCUCCAUCACAGACUUCUUCCCUCCUCAUCCUCAGUGUACGGACUCCGGCUCUGCUCCGUGCCAUGCUGCAGCUGCGAUGGCCGAAACCGGAAGUUCGGCUCCCACCUCUGAAAGCGCGGCACGCGGUCGGGAGAAGGCUGCGCACCCAACAGACACCCUGCCUGCUGUCAUGGGUCCUCCUGAUGGGCCCGUAGGACCUGACCUCGAGAGGGCACGAGACAACAGGGAAGGUAGGAGCAGUUCACCCACCUCCACCUCCCUGCUAGCUACAGCCCCUGCCCCAGAAUGGCUGCCGUCAGUGUAUCCCCUCAGCAACAGUCAGGAGACACUGCAUCAUUCCCAGCACCAGGCUUCUCCUGCUAACACUGAAGUGCCCCAGGCCACUAGCAAGGACUGUCUCCCCACUCCAUCUCUCCUCCAGUUGCAGUGGAGACAGGAGGACUAUCCGCCUCUGGAGACCCCCCCAAACCCAGACCACUGUGCAGCUGGGCCUGAUCUCUGAGGCAUGCACUUUUCAAAACAAGCCUCCUGCUGCCCAAGGAUUGAGAGCUCACCCUCAGCAAACUAUGGACUCUCCUUUACUAUCUGUGAGGGGAUCACCCUCCUCAGAAGAUAGCCCCCAUGUGUCAUACAGGUGGGGAUCACCUGACCAUCCUGCUGCAGCCCCAAGAUAUGCCUCGGCUCCUGAGCCUGAUCGAGUCCCGGAACCGCCACCUAGAAAUGUCCUGGACUAGGCGAAUUAAAUGGAAGUCGCUGAUUGCAGAUCAGAUGGCAGCUCCUGUGAUUCCUCUAAGGAUACAGAUACGCCUGACUACUGGGGUGCCAGCCCUCUGGCUAAAAAGAAGCUGUUCAAGACCCCUAUGAAGGGGACCGCUCCUAGAUCUCAUAACUCUAGUUACUCUUCUUCUGCCUGCAUCCUCUAAACCCCGGACCUCUCCAUUGCCCCGUGACUUGCAUUUACCGUCUGCACAGCUUAACUUCAGCACAGCUUUACCAUCUCCAGAAAUGGCGGCUAACACUCUCAAAAGUCAUUCUGAGCUCCAAGCUUUACUAGCUCUUCUCCCGACGAAAGCUGACAUGUUAACCCUUGCCACAGACUUGAAGAUGUCCUGGAUGAAAGACAUCCAACCUGUUCAAAAAGAAGUUGGGCACCUACAAUCCAGGGUGAAAAAAUUGGAAGACUUUACCAGCUAAGUCACCUCACAGCUGCAGGCUCUCCAAACUUCCACUGCUGCCCUCUCACUGCAACAUGCCUCCACUGUCGACCAUACGGAUGAUAUGGACAAUAGAAGUAGACGGAACAACAUAAGGAUAAAAGGCCUGCCGGAGAAAAUCCUGCUGCAAGAUCUGUCAGCGACUUUGCAGAGACUUUUUAAUGAAGUCCUCCAGAAGCCACCCGAUCAUGUCAUUGAACUCGAGAGGGCACACAGAGCAUUGAAAGCUAAGGACCCGAAUCCAAACAAGCCUCGUGAUGUCAUAUGCAGGGUGCACCACUUUUUGCAGAAGGAUGAGAUCAUGAGGAAAGCCCGAGUGCUAAAAAACCUCACAUACAAUGGGACUACCAUACAACUGUAUCCCAAUCUCUCGCUCUGCACACUCCGCCUCAGAGCGACUCUGAAACCUCUGUUGCAGCUGCUCCAAAACGCUAAAAUUGUAUAUAGAUGGGCUUUCCCUUUUGCCUUGAUUGCAAGACAUGGAGACACUACGGCCACCCUGAGACGCCCGGAGGAUAUCGCUCAUUUUCUCCGCACUUUCAAGCUCUCACCAGUGGCGCUACCAGAAUGGGAAGCAAUGUUUUUUGCACCUGCACCCUGUCAACCAGACUCUAGACCUUCGGCCUCAGGUGGUCCCCGACUGUCCCAACCGCUGCCCCCGCUGCCUCAAAGACAGAAACGAAAGACAUGACCACCAUUUUUGGACUACUGAGGAUCUGGUUUGAUCUCCCCGAAACUUCCUGCAUAGUUUUCUCUACGUUCUGGGACACUCGAAGUCUCCUGCUGUAGUUCUCCCCCUGGUCUACACGUUCUGGUGGGGCGGUGCCUCUCGGACCGGGCAAUGGAGCAACUCCUGGGCAUCUGAGUAGCAUCAACUAGAUAAGGACUUCAGAGGAAAACAUGAUCACCCGGCGCUGUCUGGAACAAGAACACAUAGAUCUGUAGAUACUUCAGGUCUGAAGAUGAAAUAUGAAAACAUGAAGUCUGUUGAAGCUUAUCUGUUCACAGUUUUCUUUAAUGGUUAGAUACAGUCAUUUUUUACAGUGGUCAGAACUUAAAGACGAAUGAUUAAGAAGACAGCAGGGCAAAAUCUCUAUAUUUCUAUCAAGAAACAUUGUGUGAUGUUAUGGCAUAGGUGUUUCUAUUUGUAGGUUCAUAUAGAAAAUAAAGGUGAACCUUAU